GAUGAACGCUGGCGGCGUGCCUAAUACAUGCAAGUCGAGCGAACAGAUGAGGAGCUUGCUCCUCUGACGUUAGCGGCGGACGGGUGAGUAAAACGUGGAUAACCUACCUAUAAGACUGGGAUAACUUCGGGAAACCGGAGCUAAUACCGGAUAAUAUAUUGAACCGCAUGGUUCAAUAGUGAAAGACGGUUUUGCUGUCACUUAUAGAUGGAUCCGCGCCGCAUUAGCUAGUUGGUAAGGUAACGGCUUACCAAGGCAACGAUGCGUAGCCGACCUGAGAGGGUGAUCGGCCACACUGUAACUGAGACACGGUCCAGACUCCUACGGGAGGCAGCAGUAGGGAAUCUUCCGCAAUGGGCGAAAGCCUGACGGAGCAACGCCGCGUGAGUGAUGAAGGUCUUCGGAUCGUAAAACUCUGUUAUUAGGGAAGAACAAAUGUGUAAGUAACUAUGCACGUCUUGACGGUACCUAAUCAGAAAGCCACGGCUAACUACGUG
rnacentral:rRNA from 1 species